rnacentral:rRNA from 1 species
AUGAAGAAGGUUGAAGAGCAUGCAGCUGAGAAGUCCACCCGCCCGUCGAAGAUUGACUGGGUGGAAGCUGGUGUUGUCUCCCGGGUUGUGAGGAAACAAAAUGGCUGUGGCUGCUGUUGGGCGAUGGCGGCUGUAGCCUCAGUGGAAGCAAUACACAUCCUAAAAACCUCGCAGUCAAUCUCCCUCUCAGUUCAAGAACUCAUUGACUGCGAUUACAGCAACAGAGGCUGCUGGGGUGGCACAAUUUAUCUUGAUAAUUACAAAGGGGGCAUCAUGGAGUAUGAAGCCUUGCCAACAAGAACUAACAUGCAUAAUGUCUUGAUUGUUGGUUAUGGCACGGAUCCCAACGGUGUUAAGUAUUGGCGCUUCAAGAACUCAUGGGGAGAUGAUUGGGGCGAGGGUGGGUUUGGGAGGAUCCGCAGGCAUGUUGCUGACAAGCGAGGUGUCUUGGGUAUGUUUAUGAGCCAGGACUAUAUCCAGUGCUUAAUAUCUGACAUAUCUUGGUUGGACCAUAGUUUGUGA